rnacentral:rRNA from 1 species
UACGUAGGGGGCAAGCGUUGUCCGGAUUUAUUGGGCGUAAAGAGCGCGUAGGCGGUCCGAUAAGUCGGCUGUGAAAGUCAGGGGCUCAACCCUUGAAAGCCGGCCGAUACUGUCGGACUAGAGUCCGGAAGAGGCAGGUGGAAUUCCCGGUGUAGCGGUGAAAUGCGCAGAUAUCAGGAAGAACACCAACGGCGAAGGCAGCUCGCUGGGACGGUACUGACGCUGAGACGCGAAAGCGUGGGGAGCGAACAGG